CAACUUGGCUUCUGCAAUGAAGAAACUCUGACAGGUUAAGGCAUCCUGCUACAACACAAAACUGGAUCAAGAGCAGCUCGAGGAACAUGAGCAAGAGCACCAUACAAGCCCGAUCUGCAGAGGCAGAGGAGUUCAUACCCGAUCGGUUAUAGCUGUUUUGGAAGCCCAAGAGGGAUCUACACGAUAUUAGCAUGUCAGUGACCCCAGAUAGAAAGCAGUCCCUGCUGAUUGUAUGGAGUCAUUACACGAUGAGACAGAAGCCACUGAAACAGCCUGAAUCAACAUUAAAACUGAGGAAAGAUCUCCAAGAUGCUCUGGACAACACGUAUUUCAACAGCUCUGUCUCCUGUCUCCACCUACAGAAAAGAGGCCUUUUAUCUCCAUACAUCAUAUAGCAGGAUGUCAAUUCUGACAUCUCGGGUGCAUCACUGGUGCAGAGCUGUGCCACACUCCUAGAGAGCAGUUUUAUGCAUAUUAAAAUGCAUCUUGUGAAACCAUCAAGCUCUGAGCCUAUUUGGCUAAUUCUUAUUUU